CCGGAGCAGCUCUGCCGCAGGAACACCGAAUUUGGGAGCAGCUGCCUGCGAUGAGUCCUCACAUGCAGGAAUGUCAGCAGGAAUGCACGGAAGCACAUCAGCGAGGUUUAGCUGGUGGAUCACAUUGUGAAAUGUGCAGCCAUGAAAGACCUUCCAUUUACUGCACCCUUCAAAACGAAAUAUUAGCAUGGGAGCUAAGCUGUGACUUCUGCGGGGUAUGUUGGAGUAGUGACUUCAAGUUAUGGUUCACAAGUAACUUCAGGACAGCAUGAGGAGAGCUGUCAAUAAGAAAUGGAGGCUAAUAACGAAGGAGUCAGUGAAGGAGACCAAUGCCAUGAGGGUUAUCUUGCAGCCCCAGAUGCUGGAUAAGUUGAAGGAGGCAGAAUCACUUUUGGAUGACAUUCAGGCAGGCCUUGAAUGAUUAUUUGGCAAAGAAAAGACUAUUCUUUCCAAGGUUUUUUUCUCUCGAUGCAGCAGCGAUCUCUCAGGAAUCCUUUUUGAGAUAAAGGAUCCACUCCAAGUCCAACCACACCUAAGGAAAUGCUUUGAAGGAAUUGCCAAGCUCACUUUUAAUCAUGAGAAGGAAAUUACCCACAUGGAGUCAGCAGAAAAUGAAAAAGUAGAGCUCGUGCUGCGAAUAAUUCCAGCAAGUGCCAAGGGGCUAGUUGAGAAAUGGCUUCAUGAGGUGAAUAUCUUUAGCUCUUACUUAGGGUUUAGUUACUGUAUAAUCAUUUUCUCUUUUAGGAGCAAUGAAUAUCAUAAGCAUAUUUCCUAACUAAAUGGCUCUGUGAAUUAUUUGUCCAGAUGUUGACAGAUUUCAGCCGUAUUGUUGUUAUUUAUUGCAACUAAUUUAGCAUCUGCAAACCUGCAGAAAUUAAUUCUAAUAAAAAGCUCUUAGAAUCAGGUUGUUAGCAGAAGUGGGUCUGUGUCUGAAACUAUAUAUGUGAAUAUAUGUUUGAGUCUAUAUGUAUGUGUUUUUGUGCUUGUAUGGUGUAAUGUCUGUAGUUCAGGGGUAUAACAUUUAAAAAACCAGAGAAAUGUAAGAUUUUAAAUGCCUCCCACCCUGCUGAAAGUGUGUCCCAUUGUCCUGGAGUGGUUUAACUUCCAAUCAUUUUAACAAAAGGGAAGAGAAAUUAUGUCACUGAUAACACCCUAACCUUUCCCCUUUGGGUCUCUCAUCCAAAUUCAUUGGUUUCAGUAUGAAAUUAGUUUGGUGACCUUUUUUUGUUUGCUUUGUUUAACCUUCCUCUGCUAGUGGAUGGGAGCGGGCCCUUCCCUACUUUAUUUUUCUGGGCCAAAACCCUAUUUCCCUUCCCAUGAGCUUCCUUUUCUCCUGGGGCAGGAUCAGCCCCAGGAGCACCACUUCCCCUUCGUCUGCUGUUGUAGGUGCUGGUUUUGUCCUCAGCAGCUUGUCCCUGGGUGCCCCCUGCACAAGGGCGAGUGCCAGGGACCAGCACCCAGCUCUAGUGGGAGAGGGAAGGGGGAGCUGGGGAACCGAUAUUUUAUACCCAGCUAUUUUACCAGAGACUGAGAGGAACCCCUGGGCAGCAAAACCCAGAGCAGGUGGUGGGUCAAAGGGGUUUGCCCCCAUUAGGUAUUGUGUUUCUGCGGGCUGGGUGAGCAAAGCUGAACCACUCAAGUCCUCUCAUGAAUCCCUUUCCCACCUAACGGAGCUGCAUGGCAGCAACAUGCUAGCUUCGGACCGAGCCUUUAAGAAUGGACUGCAUGCAGUUUAAAAUGGUCCAUCUGCAGCAUCAUUCAGGGUGGGAAAGGGAGGAAAAGAGGCAGGGUUUAGGUGAGGCCAAACACUCCUGCCCUGUUCUUCAUCUGAAGACGCUAGCUUGGUUUUUGGACUAGUUUCACAAAGUUAUCUUCCUAGCCAAACAAAACCAACCCCCCCAAAAACCUCAAAACCAAGGAGCUACAGUGGGCAAGUGGCAGUCUUAAGGACCACAGAAAAAGCACAAAUUCUCAGUACACCAAGCCUGCAAUAUACUUUUUAGUUUUUGCCUUUUCCCCACAAAUGAAGCAGGGCUGGGCAAGUUGAGCAGCUGUGUUUAUUUUAAUACAUAUCAUUUAACCUUCUCCUGAAAACAAAUUGGAAGGUUUGGGAGUGCAUUAAUCUGGACCCGAUUAGUGUCUCCUUCUCCCUCAAAAGUGCAACCU